rnacentral:rRNA from 1 species
UACGAAGGGGCUAGACGUUGCUCGGAAUCACUGGGCGUAAAGGGUGCGUAGGCGGGUCUUAAGUCAGGGGUGAAAUCCUGGAGCUCAACUCCAGAACUGCCUUUGAUACUGAAGAUCUUGAGUUCGGGAGAGGUGAGUGGAACUGCGAGUGUAGAGGUGAAAUUCGUAGAUAUUCGCAAGAACACCAGUGGCGAAGGCGGCUCACUGGCCCGAUACUGACGCUGAGGCACGAAAGCGUGGGGAGCAAACAGG